rnacentral:rRNA from 1 species
UACAGAGGUCUCAAGCGUUGUUCGGAUUCAUUGGGCGUAAAGGGUGCGUAGGCGGUGAUGUAAGUUGGAUGUGAAAUCCCGGGGCUUAACUCCGGAACUGCAUUCAAUACUGCGUUGCUAGAGUACUGGAGAGGAGAUUGGAAUUCACGGUGUAGCAGUGAAAUGCGUAGAUAUCGUGAGGAAGACCAGUGGCGAAGGCGAAUCUCUGGACAGUUCCUGACACUGAGGCACGAAGGCCAGGGGAGCAAACGGG